AUUGAACGCUGGCGGCAGGCCUAACACAUGCAAGUCGAACGAGUGGCGGACGGGUGAGUAAUGUAUGGGAAACUGCCUGAUGGAGGGGGAUAACUACUGGACACGGUAGCUAAUACCGCAUACCAUUGGAUGUGCCCAGAGGGGAUUAGCUAGUAGGUUGGGGAAAGGCUCACAUAGGCGACGGUCCAUAGCUGGUCUGAGAGGAUGACCGACCACACUGGAAACGAGACACUGUCCAGAAUCCUACGGGAGGCAGCAGUGGGGAAUAUUGCACAAUGGGCGCAAGCCUGAUGCAGCCAUGCCGCGUGUAUGAAGAAGGCCUUAGGGUUGUAAAGUACUUUCAGCGGGGAGGCGUUACCCGCAGAAGAAGCACCGGCUAACUCCGUGCCAGCAGCCGCGGUAAUUG
rnacentral:rRNA from 1 species